UAGAAAUGCGUCUUCUAAUUGCUUCUACAAAUUGUUUAAUGUGACACUAGGCACAGUGGAGGUGCUCAAUAAAUCAUAGCAUCAGAGCAAUUGGAAACUUCAAAAAUCCACAAGGCUCAGUAGCCCAAUUCCUUUGUUUGAAAAGGGAGGCCACCCAGAGUGAGAGACGUGAAGGGGCUAAUGGAAGAGCACACGAGUGAACUAGUUGGUGCAUAUCUGGACAAGAGUUUAGGUCUCCUGAUCCUCAGUCCUGAUGUCUUUAUAUGUCAUUAUAUCAGCCAUAUUUCAGGGGGAAAAAAUCCAGAUUUUUAAAUUUAUUUGAAUAAUCAUUUGCAUGAUGUGGGCGAAGGAAAACAUUCUUAUAUCCUAGGUACUUGCUAACCUGAUAAAGACAGUGCGCUCUAGGUGACCUCGGGGCUCCUUCCACUUGGUCUGGGGUCUAGGUGGUUUAAUCUGUCAAUCCCUCUCACCUCGGCCUGUCCCCCCUUGGAGCUGCCUCACUGCACAUCCCUCCUGCCCUUCCCCAGAGCAUCCGGCCACAUGUUUUGGUCCACAGCUGUCCUCUGCCAGCUGUCUACACAAUUUGCUUAACGUUGUGCUUCAGAGAAUCCCUUAUAUUUGCAAAUCAAAGUAUUCAGUAAAAACUGCAGCAAAGUCGUAGAAGAGCUGAUACCCCCCAGCCUUGAACAGAGCCCUGCGGUCCUGCCUCAUGUUAGCUGUGAAAGAGAGGAUGUAUGCAUGGUUAAGUGUGUGACACCAGGCAGACCUGCAUUCGUGUCUCAGUUCAGCCCAGUUCCAGUUGUGUGACUGUGGCAGCCCUCAGUUUCCUCAUCUGUAAAAUGAGGAUAAUAAAAAUAAGAGCUACUUCUCUGAGGUUUAAAUAUGAUAGUGCACACGGAGUACAUUGUUGGACAAGGGAAACCCCCUCUACCAAUGGCAUAUUCCAUGAAUGGUGACCUGAUGUCCCAGAGCACACAGCAGGUAAGACAUAGUAAGGCCUCCAGGAACGCUCCAUUAGUCAGUCUUCUUACAACAGGCAGCAAUUGGUAUAGAUAAGGAAGAGCCAACUUUUAACCUCUAUCAACACCCUUGUUGGGAAUGGCUCUUGCCUCAACUGGCUUAAGGUG
rnacentral:lncRNA from 1 species